rnacentral:rRNA from 1 species
AGUGAACGCUGGCGGCAGGCCUAAUACAUGCAAGUCGAACGGCAACACAGUGAAGCUUGCCCCAUGAGUGUCGCGUGGCGGACGGGUGUGGAAUACAUGGGAAUCUGCUCAGUCGUGGGGGAUAACGUAGGGAAACUUACGCUAAUACCGCAUGUGUCCUUCGCGGGAAAGCCGAGGAGUUUCGGACCUGUCUCGAUUGGAUUAGCCCAUGUUCGAUUAGCUAGUUGGCGGGGUAAAGGCUCACCAAGGCGACGAUCGAUAGCUGGUCUGAGAGGAUGAUCAGCCACACUGGAACUGAGACACGGUCCAGACUCCUACGGGAGGUAGCAGUAGGGAAUAUUGCGCAAUGGGCGAAAGCCUGAUGCAGCAAUGCCGCGUGAGUGAUGAAGGUCUUCGGAUCGUAAAGCUCUGUUGUUAGGGAAGAAAAGCAGCGUAAGAAACUCUGGGCGUUUUGACGGUACCGGAAGAGAAAGCACCGGCUAACUACGUG